CUGAAGUAUUUCUCCUGUCUUAUCCAGUGUCCUGUGUGAAUUUAAGUAUGCUCUCUCUAAUUCUCUCUCUUUUUUCCCUCUUACUUUCUUUCUUUCUCUCUCUCAGAGGACCUGAGCCCUAGGACCAUGCCUCAGGACUACCUGGCCUGAUGACUCCUUGCUGUCCCCAGUCCCCCUGGUCGUGCUGCUGCUCCAGUUCCAACUGUUCUGCCUGCGGCUAUGGAAUCCUGACCUGUUCACCGGACGUGCUACCUGUCCCAGACCUGCUGUUUUCAACUCUCUAGAGACAGCAGGAGCGGUAGAUAUACUCAUUUACUCCUGAGCUAAGUCCCCUCCUGUUCCCUGAUUAAGAAGUGAUGACCAGUCCACUCCACUACCUUUGUCAACUCUCGCCUGACAUGAACUGAAGCCACGUCUCAUGUGCCCUCUCAUCCACAGGCACAUUGAAUGUUUCCUCUCCAAGCACUUUUUUUGUCUUCCCAGUCAAAUCCUGUCCUGCCCUCAGUGGAAGAGUUGAGCUCUUCUCCAACACCAUCCAUCCAUGAUGAGCCUGCGAAGGUUUACCUUCCAACAGGACAACGACCCUAAGAAUACAGCCAAGACAACGCAUGAGUGGCUUCAGGACAAGUCUCUGAAUGUCCUUGAGUGGCCCAGCCAGAGCCUGGACUUGAACCCAAUCAAACCUAUCUGGAGAGACCUGAAAAUAGCUGUGCAGUGACAAUCCCCAUCCAACCUGACAGCUUAUGAGGAUCUGCAAAGAAGAAUGGGAGAAACUCCCCAAAUACAUGUGUGCCAAACUUUUAGCUUCAUUCCCAAGAAGACUCAAGGCUGUAAUCACUGCCAAAGAGGCUUCAACAAAGUACUGAGUAAAGGGCCUGAAUGCUUAGGUUAAUGUGAUAUUUCAGUUUUACAUUUCAGUCAAUACAUUUGCAAAAAUUUCUAAACACCUGUUUUUGCAUUGUCAUUAUGGGUUAUUGUGUGUGUAGAUUGAUGAGGGAAAUAAACAAUUUAAUCAAUUUUAGAAUAAGGCUGUAAAGUAACAAAAUGUAGAAAAAGUGAAGGGGUCUGAAUACUUUCCAAAUGCACUGUAAAUGUCUUUAUUAAAUGCUAUAGGUUAAAAUAAUUCGUCUUUGACGAUUUUUUAAACACACUUUGUCGUCUCCAUGAAGUCUACGCCUAUACCGUGGGUCUCCCAUCCUCCUCAUUUUUCAACUCAGCAGCCUCCACUGGUAUGCAUAGAUGGGUUGGCUGACAACAUCACAAAAAUUAAAUACAUGCAUCGAUGAGGCAGAAGUAUCAUGUCCUGACCAGCGAAAAGGGUCAUUUUUCCAUAGUAGAAUGGUCAGGGCGUGGCAGAGCAGUUGUUUUGUGUGUUUUGGGGUUGGUUUGUUUCUAGGGGAAUUGGUUCUAGUUUUCUGUUUCUAUGUUUCAUUUUCCAUGUGUGGCCGAGUAUGGUUUCCAAUCAGAGGCAGGUGUCUUUCGUUGUCUCUGAUUGGAAGCCAUACUUAGGCAGCCUGUUUUCCUUUGGGUUUUGUGGGUGUUUGUUUUCCGUUUAGUUGCUGUACCUGACGGAACUGUUGGUCGUUUGUUUUUUUUGUUUAAG
rnacentral:lncRNA from 1 species